AUUGAACGCUGGCGGCAUGCCUUACACAUGCAAGUCGAACGGCAGCACGGGUGCUUGCACCUGGUGGCGAGUGGCGAACGGGUGAGUAAUACAUCGGAACGUACCUUAUCGUGGGGGAUAACGCAGCGAAAGCUGUGCUAAUACCGCAUACGCCCUGAGGGGGAAAGCGGGGGAUCGAAAGACCUCGCGCGAUUGGAGCGGCCGAUGCCUGAUUAGCUUGUUGGUGGGGUAAAAGCCCACCAAGGCGACGAUCAGUAGCUGGUCUGAGAGGACGAUCAGCCACACUGGGACUGAGACACGGCCCAGACUCCUACGGGAGGCAGCAGUGGGGAAUUUUGGACAAUGGGGGCAACCCUGAUCCAGCAAUGCCGCGUGAGUGAAGAAGGCCUUCGGGUUGUAAAGCUCUUUUGUCAGGGAAGAAGCACCGGCUCUAACACAGUCCGGGAAUGACGGUACCUGAAGAAUAAGCACCGGCUAACUACGUGCCAGCAGCCGCCGUAA
rnacentral:rRNA from 1 species